rnacentral:snoRNA from 1 species
AAUGUGGGUGAUGAAAACACGUUCCUUAGGUUGGUCAUUUUUGGCCGUUUUGGUCAAAAUAUUUGACCUCCCAAUGUUAGGAUUCGUCAUAGUUACACUGACACAUG